CGCGAACGCUGGCGGCAUGGCUAAAACAUGCAAGUCGAACGAGAAUCCCCUUCGGGGGAGUAAAGUGGCGAAAGGGCGAGGAAUACGUUUCUACGUACCCUGAGGUCGAGGAUAGGCCGGGGAAACCCGGAGUAAUACUCGAUGUGGUGCCUUCGGAUCAAAGAUUUAUCGCCUUGGGAUCGGGAAACGUCCUAUCAGCUUGUUGGUGAGGUAACGGCUCACCAAGGCUUAGACGGGUAGCGGGUGUGAGAGCAUGACCCGCCGCAUCGGGACUGAGACACUGCCCGGACUCCUACGGGAGGCUGCAGCAACGAAUAUUCCGCAAUGCGCGAAAGCGUGACGGAGCAAUGCCGCGUGCAGGAUGAAGCCCCUCGGGGUGUAAACUGCUGUCAGGGGUCACCAAGAUCUGAAGGAACCCCAGAGGAAGGGCCGGCUAACUUCGUGCCAGCAGCCGCGGUAAUACGAAGGGCCCGAGCGUUGCGCGGAAUUACUGGGCUUAAAGGGUGCGUAGGCGGACCUGUAAGUGCUUUGUGAAAUCCCACGGCUCAACCGUGGAAUGGCUUGGCAGACUAUAGGUCUUGAGGUCGGUAGGGGUCACCGGAACGCUAGGUGGAGCGGUGAAAUGCGUAGAUAUCUAGCGGAACGCCGAAGGUGAAGACAGGUGACUGGGCCGAUUCUGACGCUGAGGCACGAAAGCGUGGGGAGCAAACGGGAUUAGAUACCCCGGUAGUCCACGCCCUAAACGAUGUGCACUAGAUCCCGGGAGUUCUGACACUCUCUCGAUCGAAGCGAAAGUGAUUAGUACACCGCCUGGGGAGUACGGUCGCAAGGCUAAAACUCAAAGGAAUUGACGGGGGCUCACACAAGCGGUGGAGCAUGUGGCUUAAUUCGAAGCAACGCGAAGAACCUUAUCCUGGGCUUGACAUGUACGGAUUAACUCUGUGAAAGCAGAGCCACGCCUUCGGGUGGAACGUGCACAGGUGCUGCAUGGCUGUCGUCAGCUCGUGCUGUGAAGUGUCGGGGUAAGUCCCUUAACGAGCGCCACCCCUAUCGCUAGUUGCCAGCGCGUCAUGGCGGGGACUCUAGCGAGACUGCCGGUGUCAAACCGGAGGAAGGUGGGGAUGACGUCAAGUCCUCAUGGCCCUUAUGUCCAGGGUUGCAAACGUGCUACAAUGGCGUGGACAGAGCGACGCAAUGCCGCGAGGCGGAGCAAAUCGCAAAAACUACACCCCAGUUCGGAUUGCAGGCUGCAACCCGCCUGCAUGAAGUUGGAAUCGCUAGUAAUCGCAGAUCAGCAACGCUGCGGUGAAUACGUUCCUGAGCCU
rnacentral:rRNA from 1 species